rnacentral:rRNA from 1 species
AGCGAACGCUGGCGGCAGGCCUAACACAUGCAAGUCGAACGAACCUUUCGGGGUUAGUGGCGGACGGGUGAGUAACACGUGGGGACGUGCCUUUAGGUUCGGAAUAACUCAGGGAAACUUGUGCUAAUACCGAAUGUGCCCUUCGGGGGAAAGAUUUAUCGCCUUUCGAGCGGCCAGCGUCUGAUUAGGUAUUUGGUUGAGGUAAUGGCUCACCAAGGCCACGAUCAGUAGCUGGUCUGAGAGGGUGAUCCGCCACAUUGGGACUGAGACAGGGCCCAGACGCCGAGGGGAGGCAGCAGUAGGGAAUCUUCCGGAAUGGGGGAAAGCCGGACGGAGCAACGCCGCGGGAGUGAUGAAGGUCUUCGGAUCGGAAAACUCUGUUAGUAGGGAAGAACAGAUGUGUAAGAAACUGUGCAGAUCUUGACGGUACCGAAUCAGAAAGCCACGGCUAACUACGUG